rnacentral:rRNA from 1 species
AAUGAACGCUGGCGGCAGGCCUAACACAUGCAAGUCGAACGGAUCCUUCGGGAUUAGUGGCGGACGGGUGAGUAACGCGUGGGAACAUACCCUUUGGUACGGAAUAGCCUCGGGAAACUGGGAGUAAUACCGUAUGUGGUCGAGAGACGAAAGAUUUAUCGCCAAAGGAUUGGCCCGCGUUGGAUUAGGUAGUUGGUGGGGUAAUGGCCUACCAAGCCGACGAUCCAUAGCUGGUUUGAGAGGAUGAUCAGCCACACUGGGACUGAGACACGGCCCAGACUCCUACGGGAGGCAGCAGUGGGGAAUCUUAGACAAUGGGGGAAACCCUGAUCUAGCCAUGCCGCGUAAUCGAUGAAGGCCUUAGGGUUGUAAAGAUCUUUCAGGUGGGAAGAUAAUGACUGUACCACCAGAUGAAGCCCCGGCUAACUCCGUGCCAGCCGCCGCGGUAA